GGCAACGGGCGUACACUCAUCACCCUGUGACAUACCUAUAACGUUGCCUCGGCGGGAACAGACGGCCCCGUAACACGGGCCGCCCCCGCCAGAGGACCCCCUAACUCUGUUUCUAUAAUGUUUCUUCUGAGUAAACAAGCAAAUAAAUUAAAACUUUCAACAACGGAUCUCUUGGCUCUGGCAUCGAUGAAGAACGCAGCGAAAUGCGAUAAGUAAUGUGAAUUGCAGAAUUCAGUGAAUCAUCGAAUCUUUGAACGCACAUUGCGCCCGCCAGUAUUCUGGCGGGCAUGCCUGUUCGAGCGUCAUUACAACCCUCAGGCCCCCGGGCCUGGCGUUGGGGAUCGGCGGAAGCCCCCUGCGGGCACAACGCCGUCCCCCAAAUACAGUGGCGGUCCCGCCGCAGCUUCCAUUGCGUAGUAGCUAACACCUCGCAACUGGAGAGCGGCGCGGCCACGCCGUAAAACACCCAACUUCUGAAUGUUGACCUCGAAUCAGGUAGGAAUACCCGCUGAACUUAAGCAUAUCAAUAAAGCAGAAGAA
rnacentral:rRNA from 1 species